rnacentral:lncRNA from 1 species
CUGGCUUAGACGCGUAUGAGCGCCAAGCUGAUGACGUGGUUCGCUCAGUUGACCACCAGAGCAGCAGGAUGGCCGACCAGAGUAGGCAAAUAAAACUCGCUGCAGCUAAGAAAAAGCUGAAGGAAUUUCAACAGAAGAGCUCCCCUGCUAGUGUAGGAGGAGAAAAAGGAGGAGCAGCCAAGAAGAAGAGAAAGGUGAAGGGAUCCAGCCAACUUGAUGCACCUUCACCAGACAGAAACUCUCCAGACAAUUUUGACAGUUUUCUAAAAGCACUUAGUCAAAGCAAUGGAAUAGUCCUCCCUCAUUAUGGCAACUGUCA